rnacentral:tRNA from 2 species
CCAGGGUUGGCCGAGCGGUUGAGGCAGCGAACUCAUAAUUCGCGUUAGGCAGGUUCAACUCCUGCACCCUGGACUA